rnacentral:sRNA from 1 species
AACACAACUGAAUAGGCUCCUCAAGGGUGAUCGGCUCAUCCCCUCCUGAAAGGGGGUGAGCGAAAUGUCAACUCAUGAAGUGAUUUCACUCAUGCUCCAAUUCGGAUUGUUCCUCGUCGCGGCAUUAUCACUGGUCGUAACGAUCAUGAAGCAUUGGUUUGACAUCAAGAACAAAAAGAAAUAGAUCGCCCCUUGAGUUUGGCGACUCGGCGAUCUAUUCUCUGAAUCCCAUAUGAGCCGACACCCUUUUGGGGUAUCAGUUGUGUCAACCGACCGUAGGUGUUCCAGCACCUAUG